rnacentral:rRNA from 1 species
CAGCAGCAGCCGCGGUAAUACGAAGGGUGCAAGCGUUACUCGGAAUUACUGGGCGUAGAGCGUGCGUAGGUGGUGGUUUAAGUCCGUUGUGAAAGCCCUGGGCUCAACCUGGGAAUUGCAGUGGAUACUGGGUCACUAGAGUGUGGUAGAGGAUAGUGGAAUUUCCGGUGUAGCAGUGAAAUGCGUAGAGAUCUGGAGGAAUACCGGUGGCGAAGGCGGCCCCCUGGACAAAGACUGACGCUCAGGUGCGAAAGCGUGGGGAGCAAACAGGAUUAGAUACCCCUGUAGUCCCUGUCUCUUAUAA